rnacentral:rRNA from 1 species
AUACGGAGGAUCCGAGCGUUAUCCGGAUUUAUUGGGUUUAAAGGGUGCGCAGGCGGCCAUUUAAGUCAGCGGUUAAAUCGUGGGGCUCAACCCCAUUCUGCCGUUGAUACUGGGUGGCUUGAUUGCGGUCGAGGUUGGCGGACUUCGUUGUGUAGCGGUGAAAUGCAUAGAUAUGACGAAGAACACCGAUUGCGUAGGCAGCUGACCAGAUCGCAAAUGACGCUCAUGCACGAAAGGGCGGGGAGCGAACAGGAUUAGAUACCCUGGUAAUCCGCACAGUAAACGAUGAAUACUUGUUUUCGGCGAUAUAAUGUCGGAGGCAAAGCGAAAGCGAUAAGUAUUCCACCUGGGGAGUACGCCGGCAACGGUGAAACUCAAAUGAAUUGACGGGG